GACGUAGGGCGCGAGCGUUGUUCGGAUUUAUUGGGCGUAAAGGGCUCGUAGGCGGCUUGUCGCGUCAACUGUGAAAACCCGUGGCUCAACCAUGUGGUCUGCAGUCGAUACGGGCAGGCUAGAAUUCGGUAGGGGAGACUGGAAUUCCUGGUGUAGCGGUGAAAUGCGCAGAUAUCAGGAGGAACACCGGUGGCGAAGGCGGGUCUCUGGGCCGAUAUUGACGCUGAGGAGCGAAAGCGUGGGGAGCGAACAGG
rnacentral:rRNA from 1 species